rnacentral:rRNA from 1 species
GACGAACGCUGGCGGCGUGCUUAACACAUGCAAGUCGAGCGGUAAGGCCCUUUCGGGGGUACACGAGCGGCGAACGGGUGAGUAACACGUGGGUGACCUGCCCUCAGCUCUGGGAUAAGCCUGGGAAACCGGGUCUAAUACUGGAUAUGACUCCAUGACGCAUGUUGUGGGGUGGAAAGCCUUGUGCGGCUGAGGAUGGGCCCGCGGCCUAUCAGCUUGUUGGUGGGGUGANGGCCUACCAAGGCGACGACGGGUAGCCGGCCUGAGAGGGCGACCGGCCACACUGGGACUGAGACACGGCCCAGACUCCUACGGGAGGCAGCAGUGGGGAAUAUUGGACAAUGGGGGAAACCCUGAUCCAGCGACGCCGCGUGUGUGAAGAAGGCCUGGCGGGUUGUAAAGCACUUU